AUGAACGCUGGCGGCGUGCCUAAUACAUGCAAGUCGAGCGAACAGACGAGGAGCUUGCUCCUCUGACGUUAGCGGCGGACGGGUGAGUAACACGUGGAUAACCUACCUAUAAGACUGGGAUAACUUCGGGAAACCGGAGCUAAUACCGGAUAAUAUAUUGAACCGCAUGGUUCAAUAGUGAAAGACGGUUUUGCUGUCACUUAUAGAUGGAUCCGCGCCGCAUUAGCUAGUUGGUAAGGUAACGGCUUACCAAGGCAACGAUGCGUAGCCGACCUGAGAGGGUGAUCGGCCACACUGGAACUGAGACACGGUCCAGACGCCUACGGGAGGCAGCAGUAGGGAAUCUUCCGCAAUGGGCGAAAGCCUGACGGAGCAACGCCGCGUGAGUGAUGAAGGUCUUCGGAGCGUAAAACUCUGUUAUUAGGGAAGAACAAAUGUGUAAGUAACUAUGCACGUCUUGACGGUACCUAAUCAGAAAGCCACGGCUAACUACGUG
rnacentral:rRNA from 1 species